rnacentral:rRNA from 1 species
UACGUAGGGUGCAAGCGUUAAUCGGAAUUACUGGGCGUAAAGCGUGCGCAGGCGGUUGUGCAAGACAGAUGUGAAAUCCCCGGGCUCAACCUGGGAAUUGCAUUUGUGACUGCACGGCUAGAGUGUGUCAGAGGGGGGUAGAAUUCCGCGUGUAGCAGUGAAAUGCGUAGAGAUGUGGAGGAAUACCGAUGGCGAAGGCAGCCCCCUGGGAUAACACUGACGCUCAUGCACGAAAGCGUGGGGAGCAAACAGG